AGAAAGAGAAGAAAGAGAGAGAAAGAGAACAAAAAUGCUCCUAGUAUUCUUAAUGUAAUUUAACAUCAUGGUCUAUUACCAGAACAGCGUGAAUGCAGGACCUGAGAUCUACUGAUGUGUGUCCAGGUUUCACACUGAUGUUGUGAGAAGGCACAAAACUGAUGGUACGUGAAAGCAAUUUGCAAUUAAUUUCUGUGCUAUGUUGUCUCCCAGCUCCCUGGUUACAUUCCUGCUUACACUUGGAGAGGCACAGAGGAAAGGUAACAGAGAGUCAAAGGUUAAAGAUGCAACAUGAGACUUAAGGCAAGAGACAUACAAAACACAUGAUGGAAUAAUGUCCAGAUGUUAUGCAGACAGACUAUCACAAAUGGAGAAUGAAGACAGAUGAAUGCAUUUUUGUGUUUGGCUAAGCUACUUUGGGGCAUUUUGCAUCUUGGUUCCUGGAAGCAGUAUUACCACUUUCAGAGUAAAGAAAGACAACAGCAUCACUGCUGACAGUGCCAGAUUUUCCAAGCCAUUUAAUACUUCUGACAGAUGCCUUCAGCAAAGUGAAGAAACUGCAUUAUAUUGACAUAAUGAGUAAAGACUGAAGAUGUUGGAGCUGGGAAUGCUCUGAUGGUCCACCCCUCAUUUCUAAAGUACCAGCACCUAUUCUCACUGUUACAAGAACUCAACUAAAUAAAACAAGAUUAUUGUGUUGUAACUUUCUAAACAUUUCAUGCCGCAAAUUCAAGAGCCUUGGACCUUCAUUAAACUCUGUCCUAUCCAGCUAGCAAGGUUCAUCCGUGUUCUCUGAAGUGCUCAACAUCUUGUUAAUAACACUUCUCCAUUAUAAUGUAUGUAUCAGCAGCAUUUACUCAGUGUGUUUAAGGCUCAAUUUUACUGUUAUAUUGGAUAUUUUAGGGAUAUAUGUCUUUGGAGAUCUCUUUACAAACAGUUGUAAGCAGAGAUUCUUCUCCCAGUGAGAGUGUUGCAGACGUGAACAUCAGCAGCACUGAAAUGUGUUCUGGUCACCACUCUUCAUCAUUGUCAUGGAGACUGGCUCACCCUCUGAGCAGAUUUGGGCAUAAUCCUCCCAUCAGAUUGUGAUGGAAGCUUUGAAAAAAGGCACUGUGGCCAAAUCUGAAAGCUACAAACAAACUGGUUUACACAACUGAAAAUGAUGAAAACCACAGUUAUAGACAGAGCCUUAGAUUUUACUCUGUCCCCAGAGGAGUGCUCAAAAUUUUUUAUCUUAAAUUUCUGUUCAUUGAAUACAGUAAAAUUGAAUGUGGAUAUCACUGAGGAAAGACAGCAAGGUCCUAACUUUUAUACUGUUUGAUUGUCACAAUUAAGUUUAUAUCAGACUUUUGGUAUUGCUUAAGUAGAUGCAUUAGAAAUGUUUAUCCUUUUAUGUGCAGAUUUUGUAUUUAAUAGGACUGUGCUCAAUGGACCUUGAAAUUAAUUAAAGAACAUAAUUUACCUAAAUUAUUUCAGACAACCUCUUUUGCUACUCUCUUUGAAUCUUUAAAUGUUAACUUUUGUCAAAGCAAGUUGUUGUGAAGUCUGAAUUCAUGAAUAAGGAAGAUCCUCUCAACCAUCUGUGAACUACU